rfam:Marinovum algicola DG 898 plasmid pMaD2, complete sequence.
UGACUGCGACAGGGGCGCCCGGGGACGGGCUGAGAUGUACCCUUGGAACCUGACCCGGAUAAUGCCGGCGGAGGAAGGCGCGCAAACCCCCGG